AACAAACUCUUUAGAUGCACCUUUUUGGGAUGUAUCUGUUCUGUCUUGCUGGCGAUUCUUUUCACCCUGGUGUUGGAUUCUGCAAUGUGCUUGACAGCUUACAUUCGUCAACUUUAGAGGUUGCACAGUCGAAGAUGCUUGACUCAUUGGUGUGUAGAAGCAAUACCCCUGCAUUGUAGCCCAUCUGUUCUGAUGUCAACGACCAGGCUGUUGUGUACCAUUAGAACUUUGCUGCUGUGUAGCCAAG